UACGAAGGGGGCUAGCGUUGUUCGGAAUUACUGGGCGUAAAGCGCACGUAGGCGGACUAUUAAGUCAGGGGUGAAAUCCCGGGUCUCAACCCCGGAACUGCCUUUGAUACUGGUAGUCUCGAGUCCGGAAGAGGUGAGUGGAAUUCCUGGUGUAGCGGUGAAAUGCGCAGAUAUCAGGAAGAACACCCGUGGCGAAGGCGGCUCUCUGGUACGUGACUGACGCUGAGACGCGAAAGCGUGGGGAGCAAACAGG
rnacentral:rRNA from 1 species